rnacentral:rRNA from 1 species
UACGGAGGGUGCGAGCGUUGUCCGGAAUCACUGGGCGUAAAGGGCGCGUAGGCGGCAUGCCAAGCGUGUGGUGAAAGCCCGGGGCUCAACCCCGGGUCGGCCGUGCGGACUGGCGUGCUCGAGCACUGUAGGGGCGGGUGGAAUUCCGAGUGUAGAGGUGAAAUUCGUAGAUAUUCGGAAGAACACCAGUGGCGAAGGCGACUCACUGGACGCGUAUUGACGCUGAGGUGCGAAAGCGUGGGGAGCAAACAGG